GCCCGCCUAGCUCAAUCGGAUAGAGCGUCAGACUCUUACUGCUAGGCGACUGUGAUCUGAAGGCUGCGAGUUCGACCCUCGCGGUGGGCU
rfam:Suillus luteus TH-Slu-Lm8-n1 unplaced genomic scaffold CY34scaffold_11, whole genome shotgun sequence.